GACGAACCGUGCGAACGUUGUUCGGAUUCACUGGGCUUAAAGGGCGCGUAGGCGGGUGACCAAGUCAGGGGUGAAAUCUUUCGGCUCAACCGGAAAAGUGCCCCUGAUACUGGUCGUCUCGAGGGAGGUAGGGGCAUGUGGAACUUCCGGUGGAGCGGUGAAAUGCGUAGAUAUCGGAAGGAACGCCGGUGGCGAAAGCGACGUGCUGGACCUUUCCUGACGCUGAGGCGCGAAAGCCAGGGGAGCAAACGGG
rnacentral:rRNA from 1 species